rnacentral:rRNA from 1 species
UACGGAGGGUGCAAGCGUUAUCCGGAUUUAUUGGGUUUAAAGGGUGCGCAGGCGGAGCAAUCAGUCAGUGGUGAAAUCUUACGGCUCAACCGUAAAACUGCCAUUGAAACUGUUGUUCUUGAGUAUAGUUGAAGUAGGCGGAAUGUGUCAUGUAGCGGUGAAAUGCAUAGAUAUGACACAGAACACCAAUCGCGAAGGCAGCUUACUAAGCUACUACUGACGCUCAGGCACGAAAGCGUGGGGAGCGAACAGG